GCCUAGUUAGCUUGGCUGGUAAAGCGUCUGCCUUGUAAGCGCUAGGCCGCGGGUUCGAUUCCCGUCCGGUGCG
rnacentral:tRNA from 1 species